UUUNCAUAGCAUCUCUUGGUGUACUGAGGC
rnacentral:piRNA from 1 species